rnacentral:rRNA from 1 species
UACGAAGGGGGCUAGCGUUGUUCGGAAUCACUGGGCGUAAAGCGCACGUAGGCGGAUUUUUAAGUCAGGGGUGAAAUCCCGAGGCUCAACCUCGGAACUGCCUUUGAUACUGGAGAUCUUGAGUCCGGGAGAGGUGAGUGGAACUGCGAGUGUAGAGGUGAAAUUCGUAGAUAUUCGCAAGAACACCAGUGGCGAAGGCGGCUCACUGGCCCGGUACUGACGCUGAGGUGCGAAAGCGUGGGGAGCAAACAGG